GGAGGGGUGGGUGAGUGGUUGAAACCGGCGGUCUUGAAAACCGUUGAACGCGAGUUCCGGGGGUUCGAAUCCCUCCCCCUCCGCCA
rnacentral:tRNA from 1 species